GUCGAACGAAGUAGUAAUACUUAGUGGCAGACGGGUGAGUAACAUGUAGGUAUCUUCCCUUUGGUGAGGAAUAACACGAGGAAACUUGUGCUAAUACCUCAUAAGUCUUUACGGAGAAAGCUUUAUGCGCCAAAGGAUGAGCCUGCACUUGAUUAGUUUGUUGGUGGGGUAAUGGCUUACCAAGACUUUGAUCAAUAGCUGAUCUGAGAGGAUGAUCAGCCACAUUGGGACUGAGACACGGCCCAAACUCCUACGGGAGGCAGCAGUAGGGAAUAUUGCACAAUGGAGGAAACUCUGAUGCAGCGAUGCCGCGUGAGUGAAGAAGGCCUUUGGGUUGUAAAGCUCUUUCGUCGGGGAAGAAAAUGACUGUACCCGAAUAAGAAGGUCCGGCUAACUUCGUGCCAGCAGCCGCGGUAAUACGAAGGGACCUAGCGUAGUUCGGAAUUACUGGGCUUAAAGAGUUCGUAGGUGGUUAAAAAAGUUGGUGGUGAAAUCCCAGAGCUUAACUCUGGAACUGCCAUCAAAACUUUUUAGCUAGAGUAUGAUAGAGGAAAGCAGAAUUUCUAGUGUAGAGGUGAAAUUCGUAGAUAUUAGAAAGAAUACCAAUUGCGAAGGCAGCUUUCUGGAUCAUUACUGACGCUGAGGAACGAAAGCAUGGGUAGCGAAGAGGAUUAGAUACCCUCGUAGUCCAUGCCGUAAACGAUGUGUGUUAGACGUUGGAAAUUUAUUUUCAGUGUCGCAGCGAAAGCAUUAAACACACCGCCUGGGGAGUACGACCGCAAGGUUAAAACUCAAAUGAAUUGACGGGGACCCGCACAAGUAGUGGAGCAUGUGGUUAAUUCGAAGAUACGCGCAGAACCUUACCAACACUUGACAUGUUCGUCGCGACUUUAAGAGAUUAAAGUUUUCGGUUCGGCCGGACGAAACACAGGUGCUGCAUGCUGUCGUCAGCUCGUGUCGUGAGAUGUGGUAGUCCCGCACGAGCGCAUCUCACUUUAGUGCAUCAUAGUGGGCACUCUGAAGACUGCAGUGAUAGCUGGAGAGGUGGGAUGACGUCAGUCCUCAUGGCCUUACGUGUGGCUACAACGUGCUACAUGGCAUUAAAAGAGCAGAGGGGGCGUCAGAAUUCUCAAGAGGCCUCGUCGAUGUUCCUGCACUCAGAUACUUGACUGAAUUAUAGUUAUCCGGGAUACCGCCCGGAUACAAUUCCGCUUCUUGUUAUAAGACGGUCCACGUUGGGAGAUGGUUCACA
rnacentral:rRNA from 1 species